AUGAGACGGGAUGUUGAGCGUUUUGUUGCUCGCUGCACUACAUGUCAAAAAGCUAAGUCACGACUCAAUCCUCAUGUCACUAACAUUUUGCAGGAGUUCGCUGACGUCUUUCCACAAGACGUGCCACCGGGAUUACCGCCUAUUCGAGGGAUUGAGCAUCAGAUUGACUUAAUUCCCGGUGCUUCACUGCCAAACCGUGCACCAUACCGUACCAAUCCAGAGGAGACGAAGGAGAUUAUGCGCCAAGUACAAGAGCUUCUCGACAAAGGAGGCAUUAAUAAUAUUAAUAUUCGUUAUCGUCAUCCUAUUCCUAGGCUAGAUGAUAUGCUUGAUGAAUUGAGUGGCUCUACAAUAUUCUCCAAAGUUGAUUUGCGUAGUGGCUACCAUCAAAUUCGUAUGAAAUUGGGAGAUGAAUGGAAAACAGCAUUUAAAACUAAGUUUGGAUUAUAUGAGUGGUUAGUCAUGCCUUUUGGGUUAACUAAUGCACCUAGUACUUUCAUGAGAUUAAUGAACGAAGUUUUACGUGCUUUCAUUGGACGAUUUGUGGUAGUUUACUUUGAUGACAUACUGAUUUAUAGCAGAUCUUUGGAAGAACAUUUGGAACAUUUACGUGCUGUUUUUAUUGCUCUACGUGAUGCACGUUUGUUUGGUAACCUUGGGAAGUGCACCUUUUGCACCGACCGAGUAUCUUUUCUUGGCUAUGUUGUUACUCCACAGGGAAUUGCAGUUGACAAAGCCAAGAUUGAAGCUAUUGAGAGUUGGCCGCAGCCCAAAACGGUCACACAAGUGAGGAGUUUUCUUGGCCUCGCUGGAUUCUAUAGGCGUUUUGUGAGAGAUUUCAGCACCAUUGCUGCACCUCUCAACGAGCUUACAAAGAAGGAUGUGCCUUUUGUUUGGGGUACCGCACAGGAAGAAGCCUUCACGGUAUUGAAAGAUAAGUUGACACAUGCUCCUUUACUCCAACUUCCUGAUUUUAAUAAGACUUUUGAGCUUGAAUGUGAUGCUAGUGGCAUUGGAUUAGGAGGUGUGUUAUUACAAGAUGGCAAACCUGUUGCAUACUUUUCUGAAAAAUUGAGUGGGCCUAGUCUGAAUUAUUCUACUUAUGAUAAAGAACUAUAUGCUCUUGUUCGGACUUUAGAAACAUGGAAACAUUAUUUAUGGCCCAAAGAAUUUGUUAUACAUUCUGAUCAUGAAUCUUUGAAACAUAUUAAAAGUCAAGCUAAACUGAAUCGUAGACAUGCUAAAUGGGUUGAAUUCAUUGAAACUUUCCCUUAUGUCAUUAAACACAAGAAGGGUAAAGAAAAUGUUAUUGCUGAUGCAUUGUCUCGUCGCUAUACUAUGCUUUCACAACUUGACUUCAAAAUAUUUGGUUUGGAGACCAUCAAAGAUCAAUAUGUGCAUGAUGCUGAUUUUAAAGAUGUAUUGCAGAAUUGUAAAGAAGGAAGAACCUGGAACAAGUUUGUCGUUAAUGAUGGAUUUGUGUUCCGUGCUAACAAGCUAUGCAUUCCAGCUAGCUCUCUUCGUCUUUUGUUGUUGCAGGAGGCGCAUGGAGGAGGAUUAAUGGGACACUUUGGCGUGAAGAAGACGGAGGACGUACUUGCUACACAUUUCUUUUGGCCAAAGAUGAGAUGGGAUGUUGAGCGGCUGUUUUGA
rnacentral:rRNA from 1 species